rnacentral:rRNA from 1 species
AGAUUGAACGCUGGCGGCAGGCCUAACACAUGCAAGUCGAGCGGUAGAGAGGUGCUUGCACCUCUUGAGAGCGGCGGACGGGUGAGUAAUGCCUAGGAAUCUGCCUAGUGGUGGGGGAUAACGUUCGGAAACGGACGCUAAUACCGCAUACGUCCUACGGGAGAAAGCGGGGGACCUUCGGGCCUCGCGCCAUUAGAUGAGCCUAGGUCGGAUUAGCUAGUUGGUGAGGUAAUGGCUCACCAAGGCGACGAUCCGUAACUGGUCUGAGAGGAUGAUCAGUCACACUGGAACUGAGACACGGUCCAGACUCCUACGGGAGGCAGCAGUGGGGAAUAUUGGACAAUGGGCGCAAGCCUGAUCCAGCAAUGCCGCGUGAGUGAUGAAGGCCUUAGGUUGUAAAGCUCUUUACCGAGUAUGAUAAUGACAGUAUCGGAG